ACCUGACUGCUAUCGGAUUGAUACUAAGCCAUGUGAGUCGUUGUAGCAAUACAAGGCGCACGGCUCAGUAACACGUAGUCAAUCUAACCUAUGGACGGGGAUAACCUCGGGAAACUGAGGAUAAAACCCUAUAGAUCAUAAUGCCUGGAACGGUUUAUGGUCCAAAUGAUUCGUCGCCGUAGGAUGGGACUGCGGCCUAUCAGCUUGUUGGUGAGGUAAUGGCCCACCAAGGCUAUUACAGGUACGGGCUCUGAGAGGAGAAGCCCGGAGAUGGGUACUGAGACACGGACCCAGGCCCUAUGGGGCGCAGCAGGCGAGAAAACUUUGCAAUGUGCGAAAGCACGACAAGGUUAAUCCGAGUGGUUUCUGCUAAAGGAACCUUUUGUUAGUCAUAAUACCACUAAUGAAUAAGGGGGUGGCAAGUUCUGGUGUCAGCCGCCGCGGUAAAACCAGCACCUCAAGUGGUCAGGAUGAUUAUUGGGCCUAAAGCAUCCGUAGCCGGCUUUGUUAGUUUUCGGUUAAAUCCAUAUGCUCAACAUAUGGGCUGCCGGGAAUACUGCAAAGCUAGGGAGUGGGAGAGGUAGACGGUACUCCGUAGGAAGGGGUAAAAUCCUUUGAUCUAUGGAUGACCACCUGUGGCGAAGGCGGCCUACCAGAACACGUCCGACGGUGAGGGAUGAAAGCUGGGGGAGCAAACCGGAUUAGAUACCCGGGUAGUCCCAGCUGUAAACUAUGCAAACUCAGUGAUGCAUUGGCUUGUGGCCAGUGCAGUGCCGCAGGGAAGCCGUUAAGUUUGCCGCCUGGGAAGUACGUACGCAAGUAUGAA
rnacentral:rRNA from 1 species